rnacentral:tRNA from 1 species
UGUGGAGUUGAGUAGUGGUUAACUCAUUAGGCUCAUAACCUAAGCAUCGUAGGUUCGAGUCCUACCUCCGCAA